UCCGUAGGCGGGCAAUUAAGUCAGAGGUGAAAUCCCACAGCUCAACUGUGGAACUGCCUUUGAUACUGGUUGUCUUGAGUUACAGUGAAGUAGAUAGAAUAUGUAGUGUAGCGGUGAAAUGCAUAGAUAUUACAUAGAAUACCGAUUGCGAAGGCAGUCUACUAACUGUAUACUGACGCUAAUGGACGAAAGCGUGGGGAGCGAACAAGAUUAGAUACCCUGGUAGUCC
rnacentral:rRNA from 1 species